GAAGGUUUCCCAGAGACUAUGGGUUGAAGAGGAAUUGGAAGUUUGUCGGCUUAGACCUGGUGUCAUUCCAUCAGUGUUAAACUUCCCGGCUCAUCUUGGAAGAGUACGUACCAGAAAGACCACAACCAAGCAGCCUUGAGAUCUUAGGCAGCGUCUCCCUGAGGUCCCUCUCUAUCUCCCCACACAUCCACCAACCACUGGAACACAUCUCCAAAGUUCUGCCGGGCCAGCUCAGCUUCCCCUCAGAAGAAGUGCUGCCACCUGCCAGAUGAAGGAGCCUUUUGAGAGGCAGCUGGCAUCGUGAUUGGACUGUACUUUGGUCUGUUCCAAUCCAGCUUCAGCUCCAGAGACGGCAGGCGGAACGAGUCAACGGAGGCCGGGUGGACGAAGGCAUGCAGCUGAGUACAAUCCAGAAAACAACAGAGGAGGAGUGCAGUGGCCCAGGGCCAGAACAAACAGAGUAGCAUCAUAUGUCUCUUAGAAAACAUCAUAGUUUAGCCUUUGGUAUGAAAAAACGCCAUCAUAUACAUCGUAUAUUGUACAAAUAAGUCAAAGGAAAGAGACAUACAUUGUAGAAUUGUAGUAAUUGUGGGCUGACUGAUUUACUGAUUAUCAGUAUUUUAUUUUUUACUGAUUUACAGUAAUAAAUACAUUUAAAAA